UGCGACGUAUCAGGUUGUAGGGGGUGUAACGUACCCUCUAGCCAUCAACGCGUACGGGUGUUGGGAGACAUAGCCCGGAGAUGGAUUCUGAGACACGAAUCCAGACCCUACGGGGUGCAGCAGGCGCGAAAACUUGGCAAUGCGAGCAAUCGUGACCAGGGAACUCCAAGUGGCUGGGGUAAUACCCAGUUUUUUCUUGACUCUUCAAAGGUCUUGGAAUAAGGGGUGGGUAAGGACGGUGCCAGCCGCCGCGGUAAUACCGGCGCCUCAAGUGGUAGUCGCUUUUAUUGGGCCUAAAACGUCCGUAGCCGGUCUGGUGCAUUCGUGGGUAAAUCAACCCGCUCAACGGGUUGAAUUCUGCGAGCACGGCCAGACUUGGGACCGGGAGAGGUGUGGGGUACUCUCAGGGUAGGGGUAAAAUCCUGUCAUCCUGAGAGGACCACCUGUUGCGAAGGCGCCACACUAGAACGGAUUCGACGGUCAGGGACGAAACCUAGGGGCACGAACCGGAUUAGAUACCCGGGUAGUCCUAGGUGUAAACGCUGUGGACUUGAUGUUGGGGGUGCUCCGAGCACUCUCAGUGUCGAAGCGAAGGUGAUAAGUCCACUGCCUGGGGAGUACGGUCGCAAGGCUGAAACUUAAAGGAAUUGGCGGGGGAGCACUGCAACCUGAGGAUUGUGCGGUUUAAUUGGAUUCAACGCCGGAA
rnacentral:rRNA from 1 species